AAACUAAUUUAAUUUGGCGGCAUUUCAUCUUAUUAGAGGAAUUCGUCCUUUAAUCGACAAUCCACGAUAAAUUUCACUUAAAUUCAAAACCUAUAUACCACCAUCUCAAGAAUUAAUUAAAAAAUAUUUCUCUAAAAAAAUAAUAACAUGUUAGGUCAAGGUAUAAUUCAUAUUUAAGAAUUAGAUGAAUUACAUUAAACAAAAUUUAACAAUAGUAUAUAAAUAUAUAUACUCAAUAAGAAUUUGAAAGUAAUAUUUAAAUAAUAUUAUAAUAUGAUAAAGAUAAUAAAUGUGCACACAUCGCCC
rnacentral:rRNA from 1 species